rnacentral:rRNA from 1 species
CCCUUAGAUGUUCUGGGCCGCACGCGCGCUACACUGACGAAGUCAGCGAGCAUGUCCUACGCCGACAGGUGCGGGGAAUCUUGUCAAACUUCGUCGUGAUGGGGAUUGAUUAUUGAAAUUCUUGAUCAUCAACGAGGAAUUCCUAGUAAGCGCAAGUCAGCAGCUUGCGUUGAUUACGUCCCUGCCCUUUGUACACACCGCCCGUCGCUACUACCGAUUGAAUGGUUUAGUGAGAUCUUCGGAUUGGCGCCACUGCGGCUCAGCAAUGAGCUCGGUGGAUGCCGAAAAGUUGAUCAAACUUGAUCAUUUAGAGGAAGUAAAAGUCGUAACA